GACGAACGCUGGCGGCGUGCUUAACACAUGCAAGUCGAACGAUGAACCCGGAGCUUGCUCUGGGGGAUUAGUGGCGAACGGGUGAGUAACACGUGAGUAACCUGCCCUGGACUCUGGGAUAAGCGUUGGAAACGACGUCUAAUACCGGAUAGGACCUUGGAUCGCAUGAUCUGGGGUGGAAAGUUUUUUCGGUCUGGGAUGGACUCGCGGCCUAUCAGCUUGUUGGUGAGGUAAUGGCUCACCAAGGCGUCGACGGGUAGCCGGCCUGAGAGGGUGACCGGCCACACUGGGACUGAGACACGGCCCAGACUCCUACGGGAGGCAGCAGUGGGGAAUAUUGCACAAUGGGCGAAAGCCUGAUGCAGCAACGACGCGUGCGGGAUGACGGCCUUCGGGUUGUAAACCGCUUUUAGUAGGGAAGAAGGGCUUCGGCUUGACGGUACCUGCAGAAAAAGGACCGGCUAACUACGUG
rnacentral:rRNA from 1 species